AUUGAACGCUGGCGGCAGGCCUAACACAUGCAAGUCGAACGAGUGGCGGACGGGUGUGUCAUGUCUGGGAAACUGCCCGAUGGAGGGGGAUAACUACUGGAAACGGUAGCUAAUACCGUUUACCAUCAGAUGUUCCCAGAUGGGGGUAGCUAGUUGGUGGGGUAACGGCUCACCAAGGCGACGAUCCCUUGCUGGUCUGAGAGGGUGACCGGCCACACUGGAACUGAGACACGGUCCAGACUCCUACGGGAGGCAGCAGUGGGGAAUAUUGCGCAAUGGGCGCAAGCCUGAUGCAGCCAUGCCGCGUGUAUGAUGAAGGCCUUCGGGUUGUAAAGUACUUUCAGCAGGGAAGCGUUACCCGAAGAAAAAGCACCGGCUAACUCCGUGCCAGCAGCCGCGGUAAUAC
rnacentral:rRNA from 1 species